GCAAACAUAUCACGUUGAAACAUCAGUUCUCGUAUGAUCACCGAAGUUAAGCAACGUCGAGCCAGGUCAAUACUUUAAUGGGCGACACCUGGCGAAUAUCUGAUGCUAU
rnacentral:rRNA from 1 species